AUUGAACGCUGGCGGCAUGCCUUACACAUGCAAGUCGAACGGCAGCGCGGACUUCGGUCUGGCGGCGAGUGGCGAACGGGUGAGUAAUACAUCGGAACGUACCCUGUUGUGGGGGAUAACUAGUCGAAAGAUUAGCUAAUACCGCAUACGACCUGAGGGUGAAAGUGGGGGAUCGCAAGGCCUCACGCAGCAGGAGCGGCCGAUGUCUGAUUAGCUAGUUGGUGGGGUAAAGGCCCACCAAGGCGACGAUCAGUAGCUGGUCUGAGAGGACGAUCGGCCACACUGGAACUGAGACACGGCCCAGACUCCUACGGGAGGCAGCAGUGGGGAAUUUUGGACAAAGGGGGCAACCCUGAUCCAGCAAUGCCGCGUGUGUGAAGAAGGCCUUCGGGUUGUAAAGCACUUUUGUCCGGAAAGAAAUCGCGCUGGUUAAUACCUGGCGUGGAUGACGGUACCGGAAGAAUAAGCACCGGCUAACUACGUG
rnacentral:rRNA from 1 species